GGGUGCAUAGCUCAGUGCUAGAGCAUCUCACUGCAAAUCAAGAGGUCGAAGGUUCAAAUCCUUCUGAACCCU